rnacentral:rRNA from 1 species
UACAGAGGUCUCAAGCGUUGUUCGGAUUCAUUGGGCGUAAAGGGUGCGUAGGCGGCGCGGUAAGUCGGGUGUGAAAUCUUGGAGCUUAACUCCGAAACUGCAUUCGAUACUGCCGUGCUUGAGGACUGGAGAGGAGACUGGAAUUUACGGUGUAGCGGUGAAAUGCGUAGAUAUCAAGAGGAACACCUGAGGUGAAGACGGGUUGCUGGGCCGACACUGACGCUGAAGCGCGAAAGCCAGGGGAGCAAACGGG